AGUGAACGCUGGCGGUAGGCCUAACACAUGCAAGUCGAACGGCAGCACAGAGGAGCUUGCUCCUUGGGUGGCGAGUGGCGGACGGGUGAGGAAUACAUCGGAAUCUACUCUGUCGUGGGGGAUAACGUAGGGAAACUUACGCUAAUACCGCAUACGACCUACGGGUGAAAGCAGGGGACCUUCAGGCCUUGCGCGAUUGAAUGAGCCGAUGUCGGAUUAGCUAGUUGGCGGGGUAAAGGCCCACCAAGGCGACGAUCCGUAGCUGGUCUGAGAGGAUGAUCAGCCACACUGGAACGGAGACACGGUCCAGACUCCUACGGGAGGCAGCAGUGGGGAAUAUUGGACAAUGGGCGCAAGCCUGAUCCAGCCAUACCGCGUGGGUGAAGAAGGCCUUCGGGUUGUAAAGCCCUUUUGUUGGGAAAGAAAUCCAGCUGGCUAAUACCCGGUUGGGAUGACGGUACCCAAAGAAUAAGCACCGGCUAACUUCGUGCCAGCCGCCGCAGUAA
rnacentral:rRNA from 1 species